rnacentral:tRNA from 1 species
GGAAUUAUAUAUUUUGGCUUCUAACCAAAAAUUGGAUAAUUAAUAUUAUCAAUUCCUU